rnacentral:rRNA from 1 species
UACGUAGGGAGCGAGCGUUGUCCGGAUUCAUUGGGCGUAAAGAGCUCGUAGGCGGCUUGGCAAGUCGGGUGUGAAAACUCCAGCUCAACCUGGAGACGCCACCCGAUACUGCCAUGGCUAGAGUCCGGUAGGGGACCACGGAAUUCCUGGUGUAGCGGUGAAAUGCGCAGAUAUCAGGAGGAACACCGGUGGCGAAGGCGGUGGUCUGGGCCGGAACUGGACGCUGAGGAGCGAAAGCGUGGGGAGCGAACAGG